GGUUUACACUUGAUCUCUGAACUUCAGGUAAGUUCACUUGUGGAUAAUUCAUGAACUGAUGCC
rnacentral:ncRNA from 9 species